CAAUGAGGAUGAGGUUCAGUGGGGGGAGGAGGUAUUUGCAUCAGGGAUUAAAAGUGUUGACCCUGCCCCUACGAUGCUUCCUCCCUUCUAUUAUUUGCUGGACAGGAGAAUGCAUAAUAAAUUUUGCUUUGCCUCUAGAGAUCUCUCCAGCUUUUUUUAUUAAAUGGUGACCCCUCACCAUUUCUGAACCACAAGCCUUCUUCCUCCUUCUGUGGUCUAAAGAUCUUCAUACCUGAGGCCCGUCAUCCACCUUCCAAGAUUGAGAUCAGACUGGAAACCACAGGUCCUGUCCAGAUUCACGGCUGUAAUUGUGACAAACUCCUUCCAGGACAGAAUGCAGAGAUGUUCCAUGCUGGGAGCCAUCUUGAAAAUAAGUGAGAAUAAUGCACAACGGUGACAUUGCCAUACAAAGUCUCUCCCACUGCCUUAGACUUGGAUUCCACAUCAUCAUGCUUCCCAGAAACAUCUUUACCAGUAACUCAUCCUCCAGUCAGAUUACAUCCGCUUUGGUGUCUGUACCUGCUCAGGAUCCGGUCCCCCUGGCUGGAGAACUGGAGAACAGGGCAGAGAAGCCCUUCCAAUCAGAGACCUGCUAGUACUUGGACUUGUAUCAAAGCUACUCCAAGCCUUGAAAGUGAAUGUGUGUGGGGUCCUGAGGCUGAUUCCCAGGAAGCACAGCCGCAUUUUAGGAUUGGCAACUCUCAGUCCUGGCAGAUGAGUUCUCCCUAUAUGUAUUCUGGUCUUCAGGAGUCACUUGGCAGAUUUAUAAGCUUUCACAGAAAAGAAAGACUGGCUAGUGAAGAUAAGAAACCGAGGCUUGAAGAGGUGAGUCUGGAUGCCCUACUUAACCGACUCAAAAGAACUGAUUGCUAUAUUUUUCGUGUGAACAUCUACAUCCGGGAAACCCGCGAUCCUU